UACGUAGGGUGCGAGCGUUGUCCGGAAUUACUGGGCGUAAAGAGCUCGUAGGCGGUUUGUCGCGUUGUUCGUGAAAACUCACAGCUCAACUGUGGGCGUGCGGGCGAUACGGGCAGACUGGAGUACUGCAGGGGAGACUGGAAUUCCUGGUGUAGCGGUGGAAUGCGCAGAUAUCAGGAGGAACACCGGUGGCGAAGGCGGGUCUCUGGGCCGAUACUGACGCUGAGGAGCGAAAGCGUGGGGAGCAAACAGG
rnacentral:rRNA from 1 species